rnacentral:rRNA from 1 species
GUAAAUACAAUUUAUGAAAGCAAAAAAUUAUGGCGGUACUUUAAGCUUUUCAGAGGAAUUUGCUCUGUAAUGGAUAAAACACCUAAAUCUUACUAAAAUUUGUUAAAUCAGUUUGUAUACCACUAUUAAAGUAGUAUUUCAUAACUAUUACUUAAAUUUUUUAAAAAAAUAAAUUAAGUCAAGGUGCAGCAAAAGUUUUAGGAUGAAGUGAAUUACAAUUCUUUUUAGUUUUUAAAAUUUUUUUAAAAAAAUUUUAAAAUAGGAUUUGAAAGUAAAAAAUCAUUAUUAUGGCUUUUUGAAUAAAGU